AGAUCUUUUAUGUCAAGCUUGUGAGCAAUCGUCUCAUCAACCAGCCACUUUGCAUUUUUCACAGCUUCCCUCUGAAAAUAUAGAGGAAGAUCAAGUAUUAUUCAUGUCUCAACAUUAAAAGAAGAUUAAUCUCUCUUUAAUUUCAAUGAUUUUUUUACCUGAAAGGUUGAGUUUUUGGUGUAGCUGUAGGUGCCAUCUCCACCAUUCAUCGGAUGUGAUUCAGGCAUUGUGGCAGUGCUGUCGCUCAUCUCUCUUCUGUAUGUGCAAUGCCUCACGUUUUGGUACUUAUUUAUUCUCAUCAUCAUUCAUACUUUUCAAAUGUAACAUCAUGAAUUUUCACAACCUUAGUUUUGACAAUGAUCAAAAUUUGGGAUUGAAAUCUUGGAAAUUCAAAAUUUGCGACUUCAAGUAGUUUUACUAUCUUCAUAAAUCACGUGUGCUUUCUUUGACAAUUAUUUACAAGACAAGUCAGAGUAAAAAUGUGGGUUUUUUUCUUAUAUGAAAUGGUGUUUUAUUAGUUUCAACUCCACACAGAAUUUAGCAUGAAUAAAGCAAAUUAAGCAUAUUUAUUAUUGAAUUACUAGAAAUCACUGAUAACUAGUUGAAAAUUAUUUAUUUAUUAUACAUAUCACACAUAACAAGCACAAAAUUAAAUCAUUUGCGUUGAAGCACGUAGUAAGAUUGAAUUUUAUCCUUGUAAG
rnacentral:lncRNA from 1 species